rnacentral:rRNA from 1 species
GACGAACGCUGGCGGCGUGCUUAACACAUGCAAGUCGAACGAUGAAGAAAAGAAUUGAAGCUUCGGCAGAAAUUCAUUUCGGAUUAGUGGCAGACGGGUAAGUAACGCGUGAGCAACCUACCUCUUACAAAGGGAUAGCCUCGGGAAACCGGGAUUAAUACCAUAUAACAUUGCGACGAAGCAUUUCGAUGCAAUCAAAGCUACGGCGGUAAGAGAUGGGCUCGCGUCCCAUUAACCAGAUGGUGAGGUAACGGCUCACCAUAGUAACGAUGGGUAACCGGCCUGAGAGGGUGAACGGUCACACUGGAACUGAGACACGGUCCAGACUCCUACGGGAGGCAGCAGUGGGGAAUAUUGCACAAUGGAGGGAACUCUGAUGCAGCGACGCCGCGUGAGUGAUGAAGGAAUUCGUUUCGUAAAACUCUGUUCUAUGGGAAGAAAAGGACUGUACCAUAGGAGAAAGCUCCGGCUAAAUACGUG